rfam:Microgenomates bacterium GW2011_GWB1_45_17 TX00_C0011, whole genome shotgun sequence.
GGGCCGGUGGUGAAAUUGGUAUACACGUACGCUUCAGGAGCGUAUCCCGCAAGGGGUGAAGGUUCGAGUCCUUUCCGGCCCA